ensembl:lncRNA
CCGGCGGGCCAGUCGGUCGGCUCCCCGCGCCGCUCCGUUUGUUCCUGGGUUCGUUCGUUCGUUCGUUCGUUCCUUCCUUCCCCGGCCCCGCGCCGGCGCCGGCGCGGGGUUGGAAAGAGGGGGAGAGGGGCGGGGGGCGCGGCCGGCCCCCUUCCCCGUUUCCGUCCCCGCGGCGCGUGCCGUGGGACGGGCUCCCUCCGUUUUACCCGAGCCCGGGGGUUGACCUGGCGGCCGGCCGGGCUAGGGGGCGCUCCGCGUCCCCCUUCGGGGGGUUGACCUGUCGGGCGUUUUUUUUUUUUUUUUUUUUUUCUCCCUAGGCGGGUCCGGGGGUAGACCUGUCGGCCGGCCGGCCCGGCCCAGCACGCCCCCCCCGCCGGCAAGUGGCUGCGGUGCCGAGGUGGCGGGUAGACCUGGCGGCCGGCAGUACGAACCCCCCCCCCCCCCCCCCCCCACCCCGUUUUUGUUAUUUUUGAGGGUUUUUUUCCUUCCUGUUUUUUUUUUUAAUUUUCUUUAAAUUGUUUUUUUUCCUUUUCUUUUAUUUAAUUUUUUCUUUUUUUCUUCAUUUUUUAAUUAAUUUUUUUUAGUUAGUAUUUUAAGAAUUCCUUUUUUGUCCCUAUUUUCAAUUUUUAAUUUUUUUCUUGGAUUCGUCAGUCGAUUUAUUUUUUAUUAUUUUUAUAUUUUUUUUACAUUUUCGGUUUUUUAUUUUUUUUUAAUUUUUUUAAUUUUUUUUUUUAUUCAUUCGUUCGUGCAUUUCUUUCCGUGUGCGUGCGCGCUAGGCCCGGCCCGGCCCGGCCCGGCCCAGCACGCCCCCCCCCCCCCGUCGGUAAGUGGCUGCGGUGCCGAGGCAGUGGGUAGACCUGGCGGCCGGCUUUACGACCACCACCCCCCCCCUCGCCGUUUUUGUUCUUAUUUUUGACUUUUUUAAAAAAAAAAAAUUUAAAUUGACUUUAAUUUUUUUUUAAAUUGCCUUUUCCUUUUUUUUUUUUUAAUUUUUUUUCAUUUUUUAAUUAAUUUUUUUUUUUUAGUUAAUAUUUUAAGAAUUCCUUUUUUGUCCCUAUUUUCAAUUUUUAAUUUUUUUAUUGGAUUCGUCAGUCGAUUUAUUUUUUAUUUUUAUAUUAUUUUACAUUUUCGGUUUUUAAGUCUUUUCAAAUUUUUAAUUUUUUUUAUUCAUUCGUUCGUGCAUUUCUUUCCGUGUGUGUGCGCGCGUGAGUAGGCCCGGCCCGGCCCAGCCCAGCACGCCCCCCCCCUCUGUCGGGAAGUGGCUGCAGUGCCGAGGUGGCGGGUAGACCUGGCAGACAGAGCUUCAACACCAACC